rnacentral:rRNA from 1 species
AACGAUGUGGCGGUGCACAGACAACCAGGAUGUUGGCUUAGAAGCAGCCACCAUUCAAAGAGUGCGUAAUAGCUCACUGGUCGAGUGGCGCUGCGCGGAAAAUGUAACGGGGCUAAACUGGACACCGAAGCUUUGGAUGCGAGAAAUCGGGUGGUAGGGGAGCGUUCUGUAGGCGGAGAAGCUGAACUGGAAGGUUUGGUGGAGCGUACAGAAGUGAGAAUGCCGGUAUAAGUAGCGAAAAGACAAGUGAGAAUCUUGUCCGCCGAAAGCCUAAGGGUUCCUGGGGAAGGAUCGUCCGCCCAGGGUUAGUCGGGACCUAAGGCGAGGCCGAAAGGCGUAGUCGAAGGACAACUGGUGGAAAUUCAGUACCACUCGUUGAUGUUUGAGCGAUGGGGUGACACAGGAGGUUCAGGGGAGCGGCCGAAUGGAAGAGGUCGUCCAAGCAGCAAGUGGGGAGGCGAGGCAAAUCCCGUCUCUAGUAACCACAAGCUGUGAUGGGGAGGGAAGUUCAGUACCGAAGCCCUGCGAAUCACACUGUCAAGAAAAGCCUCUAGUGAGUGAACGAGUGCCCGUACCGUAAACCGACACAGGUGGGCGCGU